UACGGGGGGGGCAAGCGUUGUCCGGAAUUACUGGGCGUAAAGGGCUUGCAGGCGGCCAACUAAGUCAGACGUGAAAUCCCUCGGCUUAACCGGGGAACUGCGUCUGAUACUGGAUGGCUUGAGUUUGGGAGAGGGACGCGGAAUUCCAGGUGUAGCGGUGAAAUGCGUAGAUAUCUGGAGGAACACCGGUGGCGAAGGCGGCGUCCUGGACCAACACUGACGCUGAGGAGCGAAAGCAAGGGGAGCAAACGGG
rnacentral:rRNA from 1 species